AGUGAACGCUGGCGGUAGGCCUAACACAUGCAAGUCGAACGGCAGCACAGUAAGAGCUUGCUCUUACGGGUGGCGAGUGGCGGACGGGUGAGGAAUACAUCGGAAUCUACUUUUUCGUGGGGGAUAACGUAGGGAAACUUACUCUAAUACCGCAUACGACCUACGGGUGAAAGCAGGGGAUCUUCGGACCUUGCGCGAUUGAAUGAGCCGAUGUCGGAUUAGCUAGUUGGCGGGGUAAAGGCCCACCAAGGCGACGAUCCGUAGCUGGUCUGAGAGGAUGAUCAGCCACACUGGAACUGAGACACGGUCCAGACUCCUACGGGAGGCAGCAGUGGGGAAUAUUGGACAAUGGGCGCAAGCAUGAUCCAGCCAUACCGCGUGGGUGAAGAAGGCCUUCGGGUUGUAAAGCCCUUUUGUUGGGAAAGAAAAGCAGCAGGUUAAUACCCCGCUGUUCUGACGGUACCCAAAGAAUAAGCACCGGCUAACUUCGUG
rnacentral:rRNA from 1 species